rnacentral:rRNA from 1 species
GGUUAAGCGACUAAGCGUACACGGUGGAUGCCCUGGCAGUCAGAGGCGAUGAAGGACGUGCUAAUCUGCGAUAAGCGUCGGUAAGGUGAUAUGAACCGUUAUAACCGGCGAUUUCCGAAUGGGGAAACCCAGUGUGUUUCGACACACUAUCAUUAACUGAAUCCAUAGGUUAAUGAGGCGAACCGGGGGAACUGAAACAUCUAAGUACCCCGAGGAAAAGAAAUCAACCGAGAUUCCCCCAGUAGCGGCGAGCGAACGGGGAGCAGCCCAGAGCCUGAAUCAGUGUGUGUGUUAGUGGAAGCGUCUGGAAAGGCGUGCGAUACAGGGUGACAGCCCCGUACACAAAAAUGCACAUAUUGUGAGCUCGAUGAGUAGGGCGGGACACGUGGUAUCCUGUCUGAAUAUGGGGGGACCAUCCUCCAAGGCUAAAUACUCCUGACUGACCGAUAGUGAACCAGUACCGUGAGGGAAAGGCGAAAAGAACCCCGGCGAGGGGAGUGAAAAAGAACCUGAAACCGUGUACGUACAAGCAGUGGGAGCACGCUUAGGCGUGUGACUGCGUACCUUUUGUAUAAUGGGUCAGCGACUUAUAUUCUGUAGCAAGGUUAACCGAAUAGGGGAGCCGAAGGGAAACCGAGUCUUAACUGGGCGUUAAGUUGCAGGGUAUAGACCCGAAACCCGGUGAUCUAGCCAUGGGCAGGUUGAAGGUUGGGUAACACUAACUGGAGGACCGAACCGACUAAUGUUGAAAAAUUAGCGGAUGACUUGUGGCUGGGGGUGAAAGGCCAAUCAAACCGGGAGAUAGCUGGUUCUCCCCGAAAGCUAUUUAGGUAGCGCCUCGUGAAUUCAUCUCCGGGGGUAGAGCACUGUUUCGGCAAGGGGGUCAUCCCGACUUACCAACCCGAUGCAAACUGCGAAUACCGGAGAAUGUUAUCACGGGAGACACACGGCGGGUGCUAACGUCCGUCGUGAAGAGGGAAACAACCCAGACCGCCAGCUAAGGUCCCAAAGUCAUGGUUAAGUGGGAAACGAUGUGGGAAGGCCCAGACAGCCAGGAUGUUGGCUUAGAAGCAGCCAUCAUUUAAAGAAAGCGUAAUAGCUCACUGGUCGAGUCGGCCUGCGCGGAAGAUGUAACGGGGCUAAACCAUGCACCGAAGCUGCGGCAGCGACGCUUAUGCGUUGUUGGGUAGGGGAGCGUUCUGUAAGCCUGUGAAGGUGUGCUGUGAGGCAUGCUGGAGGUAUCAGAAGUGCGAAUGCUGACAUAAGUAACGAUAAAGCGGGUGAAAAGCCCGCUCGCCGGAAGACCAAGGGUUCCUGUCCAACGUUAAUCGGGGCAGGGUGAGUCGACCCCUAAGGCGAGGCCGAAAGGCGUAGUCGAUGGGAAACAGGUUAAUAUUCCUGUACUUGGUGUUACUGCGAAGGGGGGACGGAGAAGGCUAUGUUGGCCGGGCGACGGUUGUCCCGGUUUAAGCGUGUAGGCUGGUUUUCCAGGCAAAUCCGGAAAAUCAAGGCUGAGGCGUGAUGACGAGGCACUACGGUGCUGAAGCAACAAAUGCCCUGCUUCCAGGAAAAGCCUCUAAGCAUCAGGUAACAUCAAAUCGUACCCCAAACCGACACAGGUGGUCAGGUAGAGAAUACCAAGGCGCUUGAGAGAACUCGGGUGAAGGAACUAGGCAAAAUGGUGCCGUAACUUCGGGAGAAGGCACGCUGAUAUGUAGGUGAAGUCCCUUGCGGAUGGAGCUGAAAUCAGUCGAAGAUACCAGCUGGCUGCAACUGUUUAUUAAAAACACAGCACUGUGCAAACACGAAAGUGGACGUAUACGGUGUGACGCCUGCCCGGUGCCGGAAGGUUAAUUGAUGGGGUCAGCGCAAGCGAAGCUCUUGAUCGAAGCCCCGGUAAACGGCGGCCGUAACUAUAACGGUCCUAAGGUAGCGAAAUUCCUUGUCGGGUAAGUUCCGACCUGCACGAAUGGCGUAAUGAUGGCCAGGCUGUCUCCACCCGAGACUCAGUGAAAUUGAACUCGCUGUGAAGAUGCAGUGUACCCGCGGCAAGACGGAAAGACCCCGUGAACCUUUACUAUAGCUUGACACUGAACAUUGAGCCUUGAUGUGUAGGAUAGGUGGGAGGCUUUGAAGUGUGGACGCCAGUCUGCAUGGAGCCGACCUUGAAAUACCACCCUUUAAUGUUUGAUGUUCUAACGUUGACCCGUAAUCCGGGUUGCGGACAGUGUCUGGUGGGUAGUUUGACUGGGGCGGUCUCCUCCUAAAGAGUAACGGAGGAGCACGAAGGUUGGCUAAUCCUGGUCGGACAUCAGGAGGUUAGUGCAAUGGCAUAAGCCAGCUUGACUGCGAGCGUGACGGCGCGAGCAGGUGCGAAAGCAGGUCAUAGUGAUCCGGUGGUUCUGAAUGGAAGGGCCAUCGCUCAACGGAUAAAAGGUACUCCGGGGAUAACAGGCUGAUACCGCCCAAGAGUUCAUAUCGACGGCGGUGUUUGGCACCUCGAUGUCGGCUCAUCACAUCCUGGGGCUGAAGUAGGUCCCAAGGGUAUGGCUGUUCGCCAUUUAAAGUGGUACGCGAGCUGGGUUUAGAACGUCGUGAGACAGUUCGGUCCCUAUCUGCCGUGGGCGCUGGAGAACUGAGGGGGGCUGCUCCUAGUACGAGAGGACCGGAGUGGACGCAUCACUGGUGUUCGGGUUGUCAUGCCAAUGGCACUGCCCGGUAGCUAAAUGCGGAAGAGAUAAGUGCUGAAAGCAUCUAAGCACGAAACUUGCCCCGAGAUGAGUUCUCCCUGACCCUUUAAGGGUCCUGAAGGAACGUUGAAGACGACGACGUUGAUAGGCCGGGUGUGUAAGCGCAGCGAUGCGUUGAGCUAACCGGUACUAAUGAACCGUGAGGCUUAACCUU